CAAUAGCGUAUAUUAAAGUUGUUGCGGUUAAAAAGCUCGUAGUUGGAUUUCUGCUGAGGACGACCGGUCCGCCCUCCGGGUGAGCAUCUGGUUCGGCCUUGGCAUCUUCUUGGUGAACGUAUCUGCACUUGACUGUGUGGUGCGGUACCCAGGACUUUUACUUUGAGGAAAUUAGAGUGUUUCAAGCAGGCAUACGCCUUGAAUACAUUAGCAUGGAAUAAUAAGAUAGGACCUCGGUUCUAUUUUGUUGGUUUCUAGAGCUGAGGUAAUGAUUAAUAGGGAUAGUCGGGGGCGUCAGUAUUCAGCUGUCAGAGGUGAAAUUCUUGGAUUUGCUGAAGACUAACUACUGCGAAAGCAUUCGCCAAGGAUGUUUUUCAUUAAUCAGGGAACGAAAGUUAGGGGAUCGAAGACGAUUAGAUACCA
rnacentral:rRNA from 1 species